GUGCCAGCAGCCGCGGUAAUACGGGGGGGGCAAGCGUUGUUCGGAAUUAUUGGGCGUAAAGGGUUCGUAGGCGGUCGACUCAGUCAGACGUGAAAUCCCUCGGCUUAACCGGGGAACUGCGUCUGAUACUGGUUGGCUUGAGUGCAGGAGAGGAAUGCGGAAUUCCAGGUGUAGCGGUGAAAUGCGUAGAUAUCUGGAGGAACACCGAUGGCGAAGGCAGCCUUCUGGGCCAACACUGACGCUCAUGCACGAAAGCGUGGGGAGCAAACAGGAUUAGAUACCCUGGUAGUCCACGCCGUAAACGAUGGGUGCUAGGUGUGGGCGGUGUCGACUCCGUCCGUGCCGAAGCUAACGCAUUAAGCACCCCGCCUGGGGAGUACGGCCGCAAGGCUAAAACUCAAAGGAAUUGACGG
rnacentral:rRNA from 1 species